CCUCCUCCAACUUUUCCCUCAACCUCCAACUCUCCCUCGUCCUCCAACUCUCCCUCGUCCUCCAACUUCUCCCUCUUCCUCCUCCAACUUCUCCCUCGUCCUCCUCCAACUUCUCCCUCGUCGUCCUCCAACUUCUCCCUCAUCCUCCAACUUCUCCCUCAUCCUCCAACUUCUCCCUCGUCCUCCAACUUCUCCCUCGUCCUCCAACUUCUCCCUCGUCCACCAACUUCUCCCUCAUCAUCCGACUUCUCCCUCUUCCUCAUCCAACAUCUCCCUCAACCUCCAACUCUCCCUCGUCCUCCAACUCUCCCUCGACCUCCAACUUCUCCCUCGUCCUCCUCCAACUUCUCCCUCUUCCUCCUCCAACUUCUCACUCAUCCUCCUCCAACUUCUCCCUCUUCCUCCUCCAACUUAUCACUCAUCCUCCUCCAACUUCACCCUCCAACUUCUCCGUCCUCCUCUAACUUCUCCCUCUUCCUCCAACGUCUUCCUCUACCUCCAACAUCUCCCUCUCCCUCCAACAUCUUCCUCUCUCUCCAAAUUCUCCCUAUCCCUCCAAGUACUCCCUCUUCCUCCUCCAACUUCUCCCUCUUCCUCCUCCAAUUUCUCCCUCUUCCUCCUCCAACUUCUCACUCAUCCUCCUCCAACUACUCCCUCGUCCUCCUCCAACUUUUCCCUCAACCUCCAACUCUCCCUCGUCCUCCAACUCUCCCUCGUCCUCCAACUUCUCCCUCUUCCUCCUCCAACUUCUCCCUCGUCCUCCUCCAACUUCUCCCUCGUCGUCCUCCAACUUCUCCCUCGUCGUCCUCCAACUUCUCCCUCAUCCUCCAACUUAUCCCUCGUCCUCCAACUUCUCCCUCGUCCUCCAACUUCUCCCUCGUCCUCCAACUUCUCCCUCAUCCUCCAACUUCUCCCUCAUCCUCCAACUUCUCCCUCUUCCUCCAACUUCUCACUCGUUCUCCAACUUCUCCCUCUAACUGUGUGAAGGCUGUAGCUUGCCUUCAGGUGGUUAGCAUGCAUUUGUGCCCACUAAUACUCUGGGUAAACUGA
rnacentral:lncRNA from 1 species